rnacentral:rRNA from 1 species
GAUGAACGUUAGCGGCAGGCCUAACACAUGCAAGUCGAGGGAGGAGCUUUCGGGCUUCGACCGGCGUACGGGUGCGUAACGCGUAUACAAUCUGCCUUUCACAUAGGGAUAGCCCGAAGAAAUUUGGAUUAAUACCUAAUGGUAUAUAGAGGUGGCAUCACCUUUAUAUUAAAGCUGAGGCGGUGAAAGAUGAGUAUGCGUUCUAUUAGCUAGUUGGAGAGGUAACGGCUCCCCAAGGCGACGAUAGAUAGGGGUUCUGAGAGGGAUAUCCCCCACACUGGUACUGAGAUACGGACCAGACUCCUACGGGAGGCAGCAGUGAGGAAUAUUGGACAAUGGUCGGAAGACUGAUCCAGCCAUGCCGCGUGCAGGAAGACGGCCUUAUGGGUUGUAAACUGCUUUUGCAGGGGAAGAAUAAGGACUACGCGUAGUUUGAUGACGGUACUCUGCGAAUAAGCAUCGGCUAACUCCGUG